rnacentral:rRNA from 1 species
UACGGAGGGAGCUAGCGUUGUUCGGAAUUACUGGGCGUAAAGCGCGCGUAGGCGGCUUUGUAAGUUAGAGGUGAAAGCCCGGAGCUCAACUCCGGAACUGCCUUUAAAACUGCAUCGCUUGAAUCCAGGAGAGGUGAGUGGAAUUCCGAGUGUAGAGGUGAAAUUCGUAGAUAUUCGGAAGAACACCAGUGGCGAAGGCGGCUCACUGGACCGGUAUUGACGCUGAGGUGCGAAAGCGUGGGGAGCAAACAGG